CUAAAGAGAUGGGAAUCGAACCCACAACAAAGAAGUCAAAGUUCUUCGUUUCCCAAUUAAACUACUCUUA
rnacentral:tRNA from 1 species